ensembl:snoRNA
UGGGCAUGUGAUGUGACCUUCCUGAGCCUGCAUUCCCUCACCUGGAAAUGAUGAGCAGUUACUGAUGUCACA